UGACCGUAUUAACUGUGGUGUUUACGUAUUCAAGCCGGAGAUCUUUACAGCUAUUCAAGGUGUAUCCACGCAACGUAAAGAAAGAGCUACUCUAAGACGUGUAACGAGGUUCGAAGCACUUCAACCUGCAAACAGGAAUCUUCCGACAGAUUUGUACGAUUGGAUCAAGAUAUUCUAUCACCACUUGCUGGUAAGAAGCAGUUUUACGUGUACGAAACGAUGGAUUUCUGGGAACAUAUUAAAACCCCCGGAAUGUCGUUGAAAUCUUCUGGGCUAUAUCUCGCCCAAUAUAGAAUAAUCUCACCCAAUCUUUUGGCGAGUGGAGAUGGUUCGAAAAAUGCCAUUUUUGUACGCAAUAGGCGAUGGCUGCAGUGUGUGACCUCGAAACUGCCUCGGCCCAAGAACUGUUUGAAGGAAAAAUGAACUUCAAGGGCAAGCUGAGGGAGCUCCCGGUGAUGGUUAUGUCGUCGAAGAACUUUUUGCUCGCACUGAUAGGGAAAUUAUAUGAUGUUGGAUUAAGAUUCUGGUACCUCUUCCUGCCGCUGAAAAUCGAUUAUAGCCCCGCAACACCUUUCUUCCUUCGAUGCCCACCACCCACGCCGCCACUGCAUUCUCACAUUUCAUUCAAUAUUAGAGAGCGAUUGAAAUGCCGUGGUGUGUGGAAGUAUUUCUGGACGACAAAUAUAUGAAGGUGUAUAUAUGUAUCAGUAGAGUGAAUUUGGUGAGUAAAUUAGCUUUGCAUUAUAUUCUUUAUUUUUAUGGUUUUUAUUUUAUUUUAAUUUAGUCUGUUUUGAUGAUCUUAUUUCGACCUUUUCUUUAUGGAUUGGGGUGGUUGAAACUUGAGAAUGACUAAAAUAGAAAGAAUUACUCUUAAAGAAGAAAGAGAAACAUAAAGAAAGAAUUUGAGAAUGAGAGGGGCUAUCUUUUUUUUAAAUGUCAGUGCGUGGUUGUGUCAGGGUUCUUUUUCGGUGAGUACUCAUUCUCCUCCAGACAUUAUUGUUUGUUUUUUUUGUUCUCACUUCUGUAAAUUGCACAUCUGGUUUUUUUUUUUCCUGCACGGGGUACACCAGUCAUUACUGUCCGGAUAUCUCAUGAGUCCAGAUAGGGCAGUUGGUAGCACUUGUCGAAUUCGAGUUCCUCUCUGGGAACUCAUCUCAAAGGUUCUUUUUUUCCCGCUCAUUAGCCCUUCGCUGUUAUGCAAUUAUGUGAAAGAAAUUUGGUAAAUUUUUGUGAUGCUUGCAGUUAUAAGAGAAGAAACAUAGAGAUUGACAAACGUUUCAUUAUAUGAUUUUAUUAUACAACGUUAGGUGAUGACAACGUCUCUAUGUUCUCAUUCCCGAAAGGGGCUUCAAGACUGUGUAUAUUAGAGGAGGGUCUGGUGGUUCUGUUAAUUCCGGGCCUAGCGCAAAUAUUCAUGGCUCCGGCGGUGGUGGUGGUGUUGGAGUGAAAAAGUUUGUAUUACACAUGUUCUUCCGUUGUACAACUAUAGUGGUUCUUCUUCUUUCCACCGCCGAUAUGACUACCGGCAAUGAAGCUGCAGCGCACCUCGACCUCGAGACCGGCGACUCCUCCGCCGGCGUUGAUGGGGGUGGAUGGGGCAGCGAUCCUGAUUUCUCUGAUCCUUUCGACAUUGCCAACACCAAAAAAGCCUCCCAUGAAUCGCUCAAGCGCUGGAGGCAAGCCGCCCUCGUGCUUAAUGCUUCGUGACGUUUCCGCUACACGUUAGACCUGAAAAAAGACGAAGAACAAGAAAAGAGAAGACGGAUGAUCAGAGCACAUGCUCAGGUCAUAAGGGCUGCACUGCUCUUUAAGUUGGCUGGACAACGAGCAAUAGUAUUAGGCACGACAGUAGCUCCACCAUCUCCUAAUGGUGGUUAUGAAAUCGGCCUCGAGCAACUUGCUUCGAUGAAAAGGGAACAUAAUAUUACAGCACUGCAACAAUAUGGAGGGGUUAAAGGGUUGGCAGAAAUGAUAAAAACAGACGUCGAAACAGGGAUAUAUGGUGACGAAAAUGAGUUAUCACGAAGAAAGAAUGCUUUCGGCUCAAACACGUAUCCCGUGAAAAAGGAAGGAGUUUCUUGAGGUUCCUAUGGGAAGCUUGGCAGGAUCUGACUCUCAUUAUUUUAAUAAUAGCCGUUGUGGCCUCUUUGGCUCUCGAAAUAAAAAUCGAGGGCCUGGAGGAAGGAUGGUACGACGGCGGAAGCAUCACCUUUGCUGUUCUACUGGUUAUUUUUGCUACAGAAUCUCCUUUGUUGCAAUCUUCUAGACCGUUCAAGGUUCAACUUCGUGCCCUGCCUGGAUAGGUUUGCAGAGGCGAUAGUUAGAGCAAGGGAUAUCCGACUACAAAUGUUGCAUGGGUUGAUUUCAAGAAACUCAAUAAAAUCCUGGGAGUUGCACACAAAAUUGGCUGAUUCCUAUAAAGAAGUUGUUGCCAAUCUGAAUAUUGCCAACGCUCAACAGGUUCCUCUAAACCUUUCCACUCGCACAAAAUUUUCGCUCUUGUUUUCUAUUUGUGCUGGUUUAUGCAAUGCAAUUAUCCUGCUUGUUUAUGCAAUUCUUUAGUUGUUUUUGUUCUUUGCUGCUCUGAUUCUUGUUUUUUGCUAUCAUGAUAUUGUCUGCUAUAUUGGUUAGUGAAAUUUGCAGCCUAACUAGAAAUUGUAGAAAUUAGCUCAGUUCGAGGAUACUAUAUUGAAACAGUUCGACUCCAAACAGGUUAAUGGUUGCGCUUUUGCCAUAUAUACAUCUCUUCAAUCCCUACUCUAAUAUUAUUUUUUGUUCGCUGUAACGUUUCUGUAUAUUUUUUAUUUUUUGGUUAUCUGGCCUUCACAUCUUACUUCACUCUGGCGUUUCUUCACCCUUCACCCGUAGAUCAGUUCUUAUUUGGAGUGCAUUCUGCAUCCAUGGUUGCAGGGGAAAAGACGGCAGUCCUUGUUCGUCAUCUGUGAUCAUGGAUCUGCAAUUCCUGUGCAACAUGAUCCUCUUUCGAGUACUGUAUUUUGCACCUUUUGCGGGCCACUGCUUUUGCUACUUUUCAUUUAGAAUUUGUUUAAUAGACACACAUCGAAAGUUAUGGACUGUGACUCGAAGUCUAAUGUUAUUUUGUGAUCGAGGCUAGGGUGCCUCUGAUUGGUUGGAUUCUGAGUAUUGUAGUGCCGAAAAACUUAAAAUUAGAUAGGUUGGAAAUUCGUUCAAUAACGAGUGUGAAUAUAUGUAACUUCUGAUAUCGUUUCUUUCAGGGUGGUAUUUUUUAAUGAGUUACUGAAGAAUUGAUCAUUUUAUACCUAAAGUUAGUUUCAUUUUAGUAAUUCGUACUUAUGAUUCUUAUGUUGAAUGCCAGGUUUCUUCUUAAGCCAUAUGCACUAGGUUCGGAGCUGUUGGUGCAAACUUGGUUUGGCCUGUGCGUAUUCUGAUGAUUAUAUCCUAUCUUAUUUCUUAUCCAAUCGGAAAGAAACAACUGGUUCGAAGACAUGUUGCACUAGGCAGGUUAGAUCUCCGUUGCGAGAAAUCAUAUUCCUGCAUCAAAAUUUCUCGGUACUUGCUUAAAAAAUGUAUGGAAAUAUGUGGAGUGGCUGCGGAUUGAGGUGGGCUAAUUAUCUAAGGCAUAACAUUUCAUUCUAUGUCGAUUGAAAAGCUUAAAUGAAGCAAAAAACUCCUUUCAAAUUUGUUUCCAACAAAGUUAGUUGCGGCCGAUUUUGCAUAUUUCUUCGGUCCUUUUGUUUUCUUGGAAUUAUGGAGUAGUCGGUGUAUGCCAUUAUCUUCUUUCUAAUAAAUUCUUGCUUUCUUUAUAUCUAAUGGAAUAUAAUGGAGCUUGCUUUGUUUCUGUUGAA